CCUACGGGUGGCAGCAGUAGGGAAUCUUUCACAAUGGGCGAAAGCCUGAUGGAGCAACGCCGCGUGCAGGCUGAAGGCCUUCGGGUUGUAAACUGCUUUUCUAAGCGAGAAAUAUGAUGGUAACUUAUGAAUAAGGAUCGGCUAACUACGUGCCAGCAGCCGCGGUCAUACGUAGGAUCCGAGCAUUAUCCGGAGUGACUGGGUGUAAAGAGUUGCGUAGGUGGCAUAAUAAGUAGCUAGUGAAAUCUGGUGGCUCAACCAUUCAGACUAUUAGCUAAACUGUUAAGCUCGAGACCGUUAGGGGUAACUGGAAUUUCUAGUGUAGGAGUGAAAUCCGUAGAUAUUAGAAGGAACACCAAUAGCGUAGGCAGGUUGCUGGGACGGUUCUGACACUAAGGCACGAAAGCGUAGGGAGCAAACGGGAUUAGAUACCCCUGUAGUC
rnacentral:rRNA from 1 species